GACGAACCGUGCGACCGUUAUUCGGAAUCACUGGGCUUAAAGCGCGUGUAGGCGGGAGGGCACGUCCGUCGCUGAAAUCCCCCGGCUCAACCGGGGAACGGGCACGGAUACGACCUUCCUGGAGGGGCGUAGGGGGACCUGGAACUUCCGGUGGAGCGGUGAAAUGCGUAGAUAUCGGAAGGAACACCGGUGGCGAAAGCGGCGCGCUGGAUCUCUUCUGACGCUGAGGCGCGAAAGCCAGGGGAGCGAACGGG
rnacentral:rRNA from 1 species